rnacentral:lncRNA from 1 species
CUGUGUGACCUUGAGCAAGUUCUUUGCCCUCUCUGAACCUUUGUUUCCUCACUUAUAACUGUGGAGGUGGUGCUUUCUGCCUCGUGAAGCUGCUGUAGGGAUCAAAGGGUACACAUUCUCUGAAAUAAAUUGGAGCAUAAAUAUGUUCUUGACCACCGGCAUGCCUGCUUUAGGCCUAAUCAAUUAAUAAUUCAAUCCAGAACAGGAAUGUUGCCUCGUUGGCAACACAAACCAGCAGCGAGAACAUUCUGAUCUUCAGAUCGCACUGCUUUAUCCUGCCGUAAUCACAGUAAAAUAUAUAAAAGUGAUUAAAGCAUAGGAAAAGUUGGUGCAAACCCUACAAUUCUGAAGAAUUUAAGUAAAGGUCAACCUUUCAUAUGGUUUUAGAGAUGAAAAAACCUAAGAAAUCAAGCUUAAAAUUAAAAUGGACAGGCACUUAACUCAAGCAAUAUUGGGGUUGCUUUUUAUAAUGAUAUAAGUACAAUAACUCUUGGUUAAGUUUUAUCAGGUUCACAGGAUUUUAAUGGUUGGGUAAAAAUGCAGUGUGGUACCUGGAUUCAAGAAAGAAUAUAAAUAAUAUAUUUAUAAAUGCCAACAAUUUUGUGGUCUCAUUUCAUACCUGUCACCUCACAUUAGGAAAUACAUCUCUCUGUGGGUAUUCAAACAUACCAACCUUCCUUACGUCUUUAGAACUGUUUCAAUUUCCAUUAUUAAAGCCUGUUCAGAGGCAAAUUCUUGUUUUCGAGAAUUGCAGUUCAUGAAAACCAUUUUCAAACUGAGCAGAAUUAUUUCCAUAGCAUCUGGUUCCUUCAUGUGGGCAUUUGUUUUUAUUUAUUAGAAGAGACUUUUUAGCAGCCAAAUACAGAUUCAGCCACAGGUUGGCAGGUAUGGCAGGUGCACCACUGUCCUUAUGACCUUGAGUCACCCUCUCCUCAGAAGGGUAACACCUCAAAGGCACCUCCCCAGUGGGGAUUCUUCUCAGACUCAAAGAGGAAGUAGAGACAAAGCCUUGCUUUACAGUGAAUACAAAUAUAUUUAAAAUAUAUUUACCCCUGGAGGUUUAAGUUUUACUGUGUGUUAAAAAAAAAAAAAAAGAACACGCGUUUUAGUGCCUUUCCUAACCAAGAUCUCCUAUUAAAUUCUUUAAAUUACAUAUGAGAAAAAUAAAAUUAAAGAAAAGCAAUAUAAAUAACAGAAUUGUAGAGCAUGUAUAAUAAACACCUCUAAAUCUGAAGGGCUUAUAAACAUAAUGUUUUGAAGCUUUUACUAGUAGUAUUAAUAAAAAAACACUUAAAAAUUAAUUUACCUGCACAGUGCUGCCCUUCUUCCUCCAGGAAACCGAAGGUGUUUCAGUGAUACUCUAAGCCAGCUUGUAACACGUGCUAACAAGGGGUGUGGAAAGCCCAGAACUGAUUUCUCUUGAUUUGUGUAUGAGGAGGCCAGACCACAGUGAGGUCAAGUGAAGUCUCCUGAUGGCUCAACCCCACAUUACAAGUUUAGAAUUACGAUUUUUCGAAUUCUUUCACACAGCGUGUGUCAUUUUAUUCUAGCCCAGAAGAUCUGGCUUUCUGGCUUUCGUCUUCCCACACUGCCUUCUCCCAUCCCAGAGCCAAGUGGCUUCCUUCGUAAAUCUGGUGUUCACGCCUCCCUUCCAAUUUUGAAGUCACUUGACUCCUCUCCCAAAAUCUGCCCUCCAGCAGAAGCCAGCUCAGUUUAGAAGGGGUUUGUGCAAUCGUCUUCCUCCCACAAAGUCCUGUCUAACAAUCAGACAUUCUUUGGGGUACUUUACUAACUUAGAUGGUAUAAAACUAGCUGAAAAAUUCAAAAACUAAAGACACAAGUCAAACCUGACUACCUGAAGCCCCAAAAUAGUCCUGUAAAGCAGGCAUUAUUUUCUCCUUGAAGGGAGUCAUGCACGCGUGCAUUGAUUCAUCAGUCCUCUGUGGAUAAGCUGUGUUCAUUACCAGGAAUACAAAGAUAAGGGACCUUAUGUUGAGAUAAUGUUGUAAAUUGUGCAUUUGAGUACCAUCCUCUCCCCCAGAUAGGGGGAAAAAAACAUAUAAUGAGAAAUUUUUAGAGAGAUUUUUGUGCUUUUAAAACAAGACAAGUAUCUCCAUGGACCAAAAAGGAAUAUAAAUGCAAAGUAAGGAGCAAGGCUGAGAGGCUGUUCUAUUGGCCUCAUUGCUUCCCGUUCACAAAUAGCAAAAUCAAUCAGAAGACCAGUUAUGCAGGACAACUGGACCAAAAGUGGUUCUCAGAGAGGUGGGGAUCUGAGUCCAGCUCAUUGCUUAAAAGUAGGGACAGGAGUGCAUCUCCCACUGGUAAAAAGAUGUGGGCAAGUUAUUGUCAACUAUUGUCUAGGCUGGAGUCCAUAUGACUAUAGAGCGAUGAGAACUGGUGGACAGAGUCUCAGCCUCAGAACCAAGAACUGAGUCAGACUGCCACUACUUCUGCAAAAGGUAGAGUGAAACAAAUGCAAAAGUUUGACAGGGAGGGAUGGGAAGAAGAGGAGGGAGAGGAGAAGGAGGGAACAGGAAAGAGAAUGGAAGAAGAAAAGGGAGAAAGAGAGGGAGUAACAGAAACCUCUGUACAUAGAUAUAUGUACAAAGCCAAAAUCCAAGAAUCCAAAGUGAAUUUACAGUCAAAGAAACUAUUAACAUGGAAGCUCCAAAAGUCCACAGAUGGAGGAAGAAUAAAGAAACUAAAAUCAUAAAUAGAAUACCUAAAAGUAAAACAAGAAUUUGAAUAUAGAUUAUAUAAAAAGUAAGCUUAUCAUCUUUAAAGAAACAAAUAAAUAAGCCAUCCCUAUUAAAAAGAAAAGAUGAGGAAGAUAUUUUUAAAACAAGGUAGAAAGGAAACAAGUGGAUAUGAAAAAGUACCCUCAAAAUAAGAUUCAGAAAGAAAAAUUUAUUUAAAAAUUCAAAUACAGCAUUCAAAAAGCUGUAAAAAAGAGAAAAAGAGAAACCAUGAACUAGGAGAAAGUAUUUACAACAAAUCCACAAAGGUCUAAAAUUGAGAAUAUGUAAAGAACUCUUACAAGCCCUUAAGGAAAUUUCAACAACUCAUCAGAAACAUGGGCAAAAGACAAGAAAGGGCAUUUCACAGAAGAAGAAAUGUGAGAAACGUAUGAAAAGAUGUCAGCCUCAUUAGUAAUAAAGGAAAUGCUAAAUAGAUGAUUUCAUACUCAUCACAUUAGCAAAAAUUAAAAUGGCUGUGGAUUUUCAUGUAGAUCACUGGAAUUCUCAAACAGUGCUACUGUGGAUAUUGCAAUUCUACGGUAUAUACCUUGGAGAAACUUCUGUAUGGGUUCACUAAAUGACUUGUACAAUAAUACUUCCAGAAGCAUUAUUUACAAUAGCAUAUGACCCAAAUAUACAUUAAUGGGAAAAUAGAUUAAUUGGGAUAUAUUUCUGUAAUGAAAUAUUAUAAAGCAAUGAGAAUGAAUGAGCUAAAGUUAUACUCAUCAAUAUGAAUAUGUCACAAAUAAUUAUGUUAAGAGAAAAAAGAAAGAUACAGACAAAUACAUGAGGUAUAUCAUUUGCAUGAAUUUUUAACAUGCAUGAAACUGUACUACUCUAAGGGUAUAUAAAUCAGAGGUAAAACUGUAAAUAAAAAAAAAAGACAUACACACAAAAUUCAAACUACUGGGUAC